rnacentral:rRNA from 1 species
GCUGGCGGCAGGCCUAACACAUGCAAGUCGAACGGAGUUAUAUUGUAGCUUGCUAUGGUAUAACUUAGUGGCAGACGGGUGAGUAAUGUAUAGGAAUCUACCUAGUAGUACGGAAUAAUUGUUGGAAACGGCAACUAAUACCGUAUACGCCCCACGGGGGAAAAAUUUAUUGCUAUUAGAUGAGCCUAUAUUAGAUUAGCUAGUUGGUGGAGUAAUAGCCUACCAAGGCAAUGAUCUAUAGCUGAUCUGAGAGGAUGAUCAGCCACACUGGAACUGAGAUACGGUCCAGACUCCUACGGGAGGCAGCAGUGGGGAAUAUUGGACAAUGGGCGAAAGCCUGAUCCAGCCAUGCCGCAUGAGUGAAGAAGGCCUUUGGGUUGUAAAGCUCUUUUAGUGAGGAAGAUAAUGACGGUACUCAUAGAAGAAGUCCUGGCUAACUCCGUGCCAGCAGCCGCGGUAAUACGGAGAGGGCUAGCGUUAUUCGGAAUUAUUGGGCGUAAAGGGCGCGUAGGCGGAUUAGUAAGUUAAAAGUGAAAUCCCAAGGCUCAACCUUGGAAUUGCUUUUAAAACUGCUAAUCUAGAGAUUGAAAGAGGAUAGAGGAAUUCCUAGUGUAGAGGUGAAAUUCGUAAAUAUUAGGAGGAACACCAGUGGCGAAGGCGUCUAUCUGGUUCAAAUCUGACGCUGAGGCGCGAAGGCGUGGGGAGCAAACAGGAUUAGAUACCCUGGUAGUCCACGCUGUAAACGAUGAAUGUUAAAUAUGGGAAGUUUUA